rnacentral:piRNA from 1 species
UGAUUUUGUAGAUGGCUGCCCAGCGA